rnacentral:rRNA from 1 species
AGAGUUUGAUCCUGGCUCAGAUUGAACGCUGGCGGUAUGCUUAACACAUGCAAGUCGAACGGAAACGAAGGGAGCUUGCUUCCAGGCGUCGAGUGGCGGACGGGUGAGUAACGCGUAGGAAUCUGCCCAGUAGUGGGGGACAACCCGGGGAAACCCAGGCUAAUACCGCAUACACCCUACGGGGAAAAGAGGGCCUCUUCUUGAAAGCUCUUGCUAUUGGAUGAGCCUGUGUGAGAUUAGCUAGUUGGUAGGGUAAAGGCCUACCAAGGCGACGAUCUUUAGCUGGUCUGAGAGGACGAUCAGCCACACUGGAACUGAGACACGGUCCAGACUCCUACGGGAGGCAGCAGUGGGGAAUAUUGCACAAUGGACGCAAGUCUGAUGCAGCAAUGCCGCGUGUGUGAAGAAGGCCUUAGGGUUGUAAAGCACUUUCAGUAGGGAGGAAAAGUUCAAGGUUAAUAACCUUGGGCCCUGACGUUACCUACAGAAGAAGCACCGCUAACU